rnacentral:rRNA from 1 species
UACGUAGGGUGCAAGCGUUGUCCGGAAUCAUUGGGCGUAAAGCGCGCGUAGGCGGCCCGAUAAGUCCGCUGUAAAAGUCAACGGCUCAACUGUUGAAAGCCGGUGGAUACUGUCGGGCUAGAGUACGGAAGAGGCAAGUGGAAUUCCUGGUGUAGCGGUGGAAUGCGCAGAUAUCGGGAGGAACACCUAUGGCGAAGGCAGCUCGCUGGGACGUUACUGACGCUGAGACGCGAAAGCGUGGGGAGCGAACAGG